rnacentral:rRNA from 1 species
GACGAACGCUGGCGGCGUGCCUAAUACAUGCAAGUAGAACGCUGAAGGAGGAGCUUGCUUCUCUGGAUGAGUUGCGGACGGGUGAGUAACGCGUAGGUAACCUGCCUGGUAGCGGGGGAUAACUAUUGGAAACGAUAGCUAAUACCGCAUAAUAGCAGUUGUUGCAUGACAACUGUUUGAAAGGUGCAAUUGCACCACUACCAGAUGGACCUGCGUUGUAUUAGCUAGUUGGUGGGGUAACGGCUCACCAAGGCGACGAUACAUAGCCGACCUGAGAGGGUGAUCGGCCACACUGGGACUGAGACACGGCCCAGACUCCUACGGGAGGCAGCAGUAGGGAAUCUUCGGCAAUGGACGGAAGUCUGACCGAGCAACGCCGCGUGAGUGAAGAAGGUUUUCGGAUCGUAAAGCCCUGUUGUAAGAGAAGAACGAGUGUGAGAGUGGAAAGUUCACACUGUGACGGUAUCUUACCAGAAAGGGACGGCUAACUACGUG